rnacentral:rRNA from 1 species
AGUGAACGCUGGCGGUAGGCCUAACACAUGCAAGUCGAACGGCAGCACAGUAAGAGCUUGCUCUUACGGGUGGCGAGUGGCGGACGGGUGAGGAAUACAUCGGAAUCUACUUUUUCGUGGGGGAUAACGUAGGGAAACUUACGCUAAUACCGCAUACGACCUACGGGUGAAAGCAGGGGAUCUUCGGACCUUGCGCGAUUGAAUGAGCCGAUGUCGGAUUAGCUAGUUGGCGGGGUAAAGGCCCACCAAGGCGACGAUCCGUAGCUGGUCUGAGAGGAUGAUCAGCCACACUGGAACUGAGACACGGUCCAGACUUCUACGGGAGGCAGCAGUGGGGAAUAUUGGACAAUGGGCGCAAUCCUGAUCCAGCCAUACCGCGUGGGUGAAGAAGGCCUUCGGGUUGUAAAGCCCUUUUGUUGGGAAAGAAAAGCAGCAGGUUAAUACCCCGCUGUUCUGACGGUACCCAAAGAAUAAGCACCGGCUAACUUCGUG